AGAACGAACGCUGGCGGCAGGCUUAACACAUGCAAGUCGAACGCACCGCAAGGUGAGUGGCAGACGGGUGAGUAACGCGUGGGAAUCUACCCAACCCUUCGGAAUAGCUCCGGGAAACUGGAAUUAAUACCGAGUACGCCCUACGGGGGAAAGAUUUAUCGGGGUUGGAUGAGCCCGCGUUGGAUUAGCUAGUUGGUGGGGUAAUGGCCUACCAAGGCGACGAUCCAUAGCUGGUCUGAGAGGAUGAUCAGCCACACUGGGACUGAGACACGGCCCAGACUCCUACGGGAGGCAGCAGUGGGGAAUAUUGGACAAUGGGCGCAAGCCUGAUCCAGCCAUGCCGCGUGAGUGAUGAAGGCCCUAGGGUUGUAAAGCUCUUUCAGUGGGGAAGAUAAUGACGGUACCCACAGAAGAAGCCCGGCUAACUUCGUGCCAGCAGCCGC
rnacentral:rRNA from 1 species